rnacentral:misc_RNA from 1 species
GAUGAAGAACGCAGCGAAAUGCGAUAAGUAAUGUGAAUUGCAGAAUUCAGUGAAUCAUCGAAUCUUUGAACGCACCUUGCGCCCUUUGGCCAUUCCGAAGGGCAUGCCUGUUUGAGUAUCAUGAACACCUCAACUCUUCAUGGUUUUCCGUGAUGAGCUUGGACUUUGGGGGUCUUGCUGGCCUAUGGUCAGCUCCUCUAAAAUAAAUCAGCUUGCCAGUGUUUGGUGGGUAUCACAGGUGUGAUAACUAUCUACGCUUGUGGUUUUCCACCAGGUAACCUUCAGCAGUGGAGGUUCGCUGGAGCUCACAGAUGUGUCUCUCCUCAGUGAGGACAGCUCUUUGAAUGUUUGAUCUCAAAUCAGGUAGGACUACCCGCUGAACUUAAGCAUAUCAAUAAGCGGAGUA